rnacentral:rRNA from 1 species
GAUGAACGCUGGCGGCGUGCCUAACACAUGCAAGUCGAGCGGGAAAUUUACAAAUGAGAUUUCGGUCAAAUGAGUAGAUGGAGAGCGGCGGACGGGUGAGUAGCGCGUAGGCAACCUGCCCCAUACACAGGGAUAGCCUCGGGAAACCGGGAUUAAAACCUGAUAAAGCUUGGAAGUCACAUGGUUUUCAAGUCAAAGAUUUAUCGGUAUGGGAUGGGCCUGCGUCUGAUUAGCUGGUUGGUGGGGUAACGGCCUACCAAGGCAACGAUCAGUAGCCGACCUGAGAGGGUGAUCGGCCACAUUGGAACUGAGACACGGUCCAAACUCCUACGGGAGGCAGCAGUGGGGAAUAUUGCACAAUGGGCGAAAGCCUGAUGCAGCAACGCCGCGUGAAGGAAGAAGGCCUUUGGGUCGUAAACUUCUGUCUUUAGGGAAGAAACAAAUGACGGUACCUAAAGAGGAAGCCCCGGCUAACUACGUGCCAGCAGCCGCGGUAAUACGUAGGGGGCGAGCGUUAUCCGGAAUUAUUGGGCGUAAAGAGUGCGUAGGUGGUUUUGUAAGCGAGGGGUGAAAGGCAAUGGCUCAACCAUUGUUAGCCUUUCGAACUGCGAGACUUGAGUGCAGGAGAGGUAAGCGGAAUUCCUAGUGUAGCGGUGAAAUGCGUAGAUAUUAGGAGGAACACCGGUGGCGAAGGCGGCUUACUGGACUGAAACUGACACUGAGGCACGAAAGCGUGGGGAGCAAACAGGAUUAGAUACCCUGGUAGUCCACGCCGUAAACGAUGAGCACUAGGUGUCGGGGUCCGCAAGGAUUCGGUGCCGAAGUUAACGCAAUAAAGUGCUCCGCCUGGGGGAGUACGCACGCAAGUGUGAAACUCAAAGGAAUUGACGGGGA